rnacentral:rRNA from 1 species
AUGAGCAAGGACUGCGGCAACCACGGCGAGGACGACAUCCGGCGCACGUGCCGGCGCUUCCUGGCCUUCCUCUUCUUCCUGGCCCUGGUGGUGGCCGUCAUCGCCCUCAUCGUCUACCUCGUCCUCCGCCCCACGCACCCGCGCUUCUAUCUCCAGGACGCCUCGCUCCGGCAGCUGGACGUGCUCACCGCCAACGCCUCCGCCGCGGCGGGCGUGCUCUCCACCGUGCUCCAGGUCACCGUCGCCUCCCGCAACCCCAACGACCGCGUCGGCGUCUACUACGACCGCCUCGACGUCUACGCCUCCUACAAGUACCAGCAGAUCACGCUGGCCUCCGCGCUCCCGCCGGUGUACCAGGGCCACGGCGACGUCGAGGUGUGGUCCCCGGUGCUCUCCGGCCCGAACGUCCCCUUCGCGCCCUACCUCGCCGACGCGCUCGCCAAGGACGUCCAGGCCGGGUACCUCAUCCUCCAGGUGAAGAUCGACGGCCGCGUCCGGUGGAAGGUGGGCAGCUGGAUCUCCGGCCACUACCACAUCUUCGUGACCUGCCCCGCCUUCCUCAUCGGCACCGGCGGCAACGGCGCGCCCGGGGCCAACGGGCUCAGGUUCCAGACCGCCACCUACUGCCACGUCGAGGUCUAG